AUGAAUAAAUCCCCGGGACACUUGAGUGAGAUUCACCUCGUCUUUGUUUGGGAGCGGAGAGGGAGACACACCUGGCGGAGAUCUGGGGAGAAUGUCCAGUUUAGGAGGAUUUAGGUCUCAGAGCAACUCUGAGCAAGGAAGGGACAGAAAGAGUUUUUGAAAAGAGGACACUGAGCAUGAUGAAUAAUGCAAGGGGCCUCCUCGAUCGUCGCUACCAACAUGCCACGGCAUGUUUUAUUCACACUAAAGUCAGACAGAUCUCCACCCUCGCCGCUGCCCGGAUCCGUGAGCCGGCCGUCGGCCUUAAAGACAUCAGCAUCAGCUCAGUGUGUCUGCUCGCUCAGUCUCCUUGACCCUCACGUCCCUGCAGAGGAGAGCCCGUUUUUAAUGGAAGUACAGAGCUGGAGGUUCUCUAACUGCGACUUCCCUGUGGCUCGAAGACAAAGAACACCACACAAUGUUUACCUGUAACAAAUGUUUACUCAGACCUCAGUCCUCAAGGUGAGACGUUCCCCAAACCCAACUGUUUUGUGUAUCAUUUAAAUAUGCAUGCACCUGUGUUCCUGUUUUGAAAACAACACGCUUCCCUUACUCUAACAGACGGUGUUGCCACAUCAGAGUUUUUCACCCUUAUCUGGCAGCCCGAUCACCUGCGCUCAUUACUUAUGGCACGGUCCGAGAGGCGGCUUUGGUCACGCGUUACCGACCCUCCAUGGCCACGUCAGCGAGGGAUGACAGCCCCUACGGGACUCUUGUCUACGUGCCUUUCUGAAGUACUUGAUUUAUUAUUCAUCGGUGUUCCCGAUGGGGCUGCACAGUCAUUAGCAGGAAGGUCCCAGGUUCAAUUCCUUUGCUUUCUGUGCAGGUUUUGAUCCCAUUUUGUCCCACAGUCCAAAGGCAUUCAGCUCAGACGGACUGGAGACUGUUUUCAACCAUAUCAACCUCCUCAAGGGCUGGAAAAAGAUCAAACGGAGACGUUAUGGUACAAAGCCGACGCCAAACUUAACUUUCACCAACAAUAACAUCUUGCAUCAUCCCGUCUCUCUUUAGUAUGCAUCCCCCAAAAAACGAUCCCUCACCUCUGCGUGGUGAAACGUCCAGUGUCCAGAUGGUCCGUCAUGGCAGCCUCUUCAUCCUUGGAAGGAUCGUUAAGUGCUAAGAUUGGCUGUUACCAAGCACAAAUACUCUUAUAGAAUACAAGCAGGUUUACCCGAAAUCCAUGUAACAUUAUGACAUUUUUGAUUUUCCGAUUGCAUCUCACUGAUACACCUCAGUGAUGUUAAUGGCAUGUUUUCACUAAUGUUUCCUUGUUUGCUCUUGAUAACAGAACAUAUUCAAACAUGCUCUGUUUACAUGCAGUAAAUGGGUCAAAGGCAAGUCAAUGUUUUGGACUGUUUUAACUCUUUAGAUCCCUUCACCCUCUUUAUGAUACGUUUAGGACUAGGCCACACAUACACGUGUUCCAGUACGUCUUAAAACAUAACUUUUUCUAGCUUAUGUUUUAGCGGCGUCCUCUCCUUUGUCGCCACAAAUGAGGCGACUAUUCGUGCACUGGCUUACGUGACAAUCUCUUAACCAUAAAACAUGAUCUUAAAAGCCUCAUCUCUUCUAAAGUUCAAAUAAAACAUAGUCAACUGUUUGAAACACAGACAAUAAGCAGUUAUGAAAGAUCACUGUAAGCAGCAUCAUUUGGAGAGUGGCGUAGCAGCAGUAGAGACUAUAGAUGUGUUUCCAUCAAUCUUAAGCGCAUUUUCUAUUUCUUUUAUGCCAAUUUUCUCAAAAUGAUAACCCAAAUGACACACUUAGCUCUUAGUAAUUAGAUAAAGAAGGCAUUUUGUCUUAGAAAAAUAUAUUUGAACAUAUUUUCAUAAAAGAUGACAGUCUCAAAAGUACCAAUAUUCAUCUAUCCUCUACGCUAACUUUACAUUAUCACAACACCUCUUGGUAUAAACAUAAUGCUGCCUGGAUUAUGUUAUUAUGUGUUUUUUGAGUAUGUAUGAAGAUGAGUUGUAAAGGGAGCUGGUGCCCCUAAUGAACACCACACACCAUAUGACAACCAUAUUUAAAGACCCUUAAAGCACUCAAUCAUGUCUAACAUGCCUUAUUUUAUGGAUUAUGGAUGCUGAAAUGCCCUUUACACCCAACAAGGAGCCUCCUGGGACUCUCAGAAUCUGC
ensembl:lncRNA